rnacentral:rRNA from 1 species
AUUGAACGCUGGCGGCAUGCCUUACACAUGCCAGUCGAACGGUAACAGGUCUUCGGAUGCUGACGAGUGGCGAACGGGUGAGUAAUACAUCGGAACGUGCCUGGUAGUGGGGGAUAACUACUCGAAAGAGUGGCUAAUACCGCAUGAGAUCUACGGAUGAGAGCAGGGGAUCGCAAGACCUUGUGCUAAUAGAGCGGCCGAUGGCAGAUUAGGUAGUUGGUGGGAUAAAAGCUUACCAAGCCGACGAUCUGUAGCUGGUCUGAGAGGACGAUCAGCCACACUGGGACUGAGACACGGCCCAGACUCCUACGGGAGGCAGCAGUGGGGAAUUUUGGACAAUGGGCGCAAGCCUGAUCCAGCAAUGCCGCGUGCAGGAUGAAGGCCUUCGGGUUGUAAACUGCUUUUGUACGGAACGAAAAGCCCUGGGUUAAUACCCUGGGGUCAUGACGGUACCGUAAGAAUAAGCACCGGCUAACUACGUGCCAGCAGCCGCCGUAA